UGCAGAAUCCCGUGAACCAUCGAGUUUUUGAACGCAAGUUGCGCCCGAAGCCAUUCGGCUGAGGGCACGUCUGCCUGGGCGUCACGC
rnacentral:rRNA from 5 species